rnacentral:tRNA from 1 species
GAGAGGUGUUCCGAACACCAAGAACUGCUAAUUCUUGCCCCUGAAGUUAAAAUCUCCAGACCCCUCA